rnacentral:lncRNA from 1 species
CGGGGAGGGCGGGGCUUACAGCUGAGAGGGGGCGUGUCUGGCGGGCGACUGGAGAGCGCAGUGUGUGUGUGCUGUGUUACAGUGUGUGUGGUGUGUUACAGUGUGUCUGUGCUGUGUUACAGUGUGUGUGCUGUUACAGUGUGUGUGCUGUGUUACAGUGUGUGUGCUGUGUUACAGUGCGUCUGUGCUGUUGCAGUGUGUGUGCUGUGCACAGUGUCCAUUACAGUGUGUACUGUGUACACUGUGUAUAUACUUUAGUGUGUGUAUAUACUCUGUACAGUGCCUAUUACAGUGUGUAUAUACCGUGUACAGUGCCUAUUACUGUGUGUGUAUAUACUGUGUACAGUGCCUAUUACAGUGUGUAUAUAUUUAGUGUGUGUAUAUACUAUGUACAGUGCCUAUUACAGUGUGUAUAUACCGU